rnacentral:rRNA from 1 species
GCUCUUUUGUCAGGGAAGAAACGGUGGUCUCUAAUACAGGCUGCUAAUGACGGUACCUGAAGAAUAAGCACCGGCUAACUACGUGCCAGCAGCCGCGGUAAUACGUAGGGUGCAAGCGUUAAUCGGAAUUACUGGGCGUAAAGCGUGCGCAGGCGGUUUUGUAAGUCUGUCGUGAAAUCCCCGGGCUCAACCUGGGAAUGGCGAUGGAGACUGCAAGGCUAGAGUUUGGCAGAGGGGGGUAGAAUUCCACGUGUAGCAGUGAAAUGCGUAGAUAUGUGGAGGAACACCGAUGGCGAAGGCAGCCCCCUGGGUCAAGACUGACGCUCAUGCACGAAAGCGUGGGGAGC